rnacentral:piRNA from 1 species
AACAAAAGAUUGUGAUCUUUCUGGUGUUC